rnacentral:lncRNA from 1 species
UUGAUAUGAUGAGUACAUGAUAUGGUUUAGGAGUCGUUAAAAGAAUUAUUAUUACUAAUUGAUGGAGUUUAAGUUGUUAGAUGCAUUUGAUGAAUUAUAUAUUAUUAUUAUUGAUUGUGAAUCUCACCCCUUCUGCUUGAAAAUGUUGCCCUUCGUAUGGGUAACUUGCAGGUAUUAAAGUUUAGUAGGAGUGGUGGCUCAAGUGUCUUAGGGCUCUGAUACGUAACGGGAUGG